rnacentral:rRNA from 1 species
CGCCUGUUUACCAAAAACAUCACCUCUAGCAUAACUAGUAUUAGAGGCACUGCCUGCCCAGUGACACACGUUAAACGGCCGCGGUAUCCUGACCGUGCAAAGGUAGCAUAAUCACUUGUUCCUUAAAUAGGGACUUGCAUGAAUGGCCAAACGAGGGUUAAUCUGUCUCUUACUUUUAAUCAGUGAAAUUGACCUUCCCGUGAAGAGGCGGGAAUAAGCAAAUAAGACGAGAAGACCCUAUGGAGCUUAAAUUUAUUAACUCAAGUAAUUACCCAUAAAAAUCUACAAGAUACAACUUCCUUACUCAUGAGUUAAAAAUUUUGGUUGGGGUGACCUCGGAGUAUAAAUUAGCCUCCGAAUGAUUAUAAUUUAGACUAACCCGUCUAAAUCCACGUUCAUUAAUUGACCCAAACUUUUGAUCAACGGAACAAGUUACCCUAGGGAUAACAGCGCAAUCCUACUCAAGAGUCCAUAUCGACAGUAGGGUUUACGACCUCGAUGUUGGAUCAGGACACCCAAAUGGUGCAGCCGCUAUUAACGGUUCGUUUGUUCAACGAUUA